GGCAAGAAUACUGGAGUGGAUUGCCAUUUCCUUCACCAGGGGAUCUUUCCCACCCAGGGAUCGAACCUACGUCUCCUGUAUUAGCAGGCAGGUUCUUUACCACCGAGCCACCAGGGAAGCCAUAGGGAGGGCUUGGCUCACUACUAACAGGGUUUGGCCACUCCUCUGUACCAGGCUCACACUAGGUGCUGCAGAGGCAAAGAUGGAGUAUGAAGGGCUCGUAUAACGGCGGAGACAGGCCUGCAAAUGCCUAAGAUCCACAAACCAUGGUUUCCAUGCUUUGGCUGCUGUAUAUGCAGGUACCACAGAAUGCUUCCAUUCCUUGGGCUCUUCAUCUGAAAACUACGUGAUCUGUACCAGUCCUCUCUCCCUCUCAGAGUCAUUACAGAUGUUGCCUCUCUUCCUCAGCUGGGGCAGAGGUGAACCAUGCUGAGCAGGAAAGGGGUAAGAAGGUACUGUCUUUCAAAUGAGGCUCCCCUGCUGGCUGGCUGUGACAAGAACAGCCUUGACAAAUCCUGAGCCAAACUUUGUAUAUCCCAUGUCUGUUCCUUAGGCUAUUUGGCCUGCCCCUCUAUAGUCACAAGCCUGGGUGGGCAUUACUGUUGCUCACGAAUAUCUCCUGUCCUCUUCCCUCCCUAGGCACUAGAAGACUGUUUCCCAGUCUCUGUGUAGUCAAGUGAGGUCAUCAAACUAGUUUUGGCCGAUGGAUUACACUGGAAGUAAUGUAUGUCACUUCCAAAAUCAAGCUGGAACAGCAAGCGGAUGGGUAAGGCGAC
ensembl:lncRNA